rnacentral:rRNA from 1 species
CGGCCAGUGAAGAGGAAAGAGCUCAAAGUUGGAAACUGUUUGGCUUAGCUAAACCGUAUUGUAAACUGUAGAAACAUUUUCCUGGCACACCAGAUUAAUAAGUCCUUUGGAACAAGGCAUCAUGGAGGGUGAGAAUCCCGUCUUUGAUCUGAGUAGUUGUCUUUUGUGAUAUGUUUUCAAAGAGUCAGGUUGUUUGGGAAUGCAGCCUAAAUUGGGUGGUAAAUCUCACCUAAAGCUAAAUAUUUGCGAGAGACCGAUAGCGAACAAGUACCGUGAGGGAAAGAUGAAAAGAACUUUGAAAAGAGAGUUAAACAGUAUGUGAAAUUGUUAAAAGGGAACCGUUUGGAGCCAGACUGGUUUGACUGUAAUCAACCUAGAAUUCGUUUUGGGUGCACUUGCAGUCUAUACCUGCCAACAACAGUUUGAUUUGGAGGAAAAAAUUAGUAGGAAUGUGGCCUCUCGAGGUGUUAUAGCCUACUAUCAUACUCUGGAUUGGACUGAGGAACGCAGCGAAUGCCUUUAGGCGAGAUUGCUGGGUGCUUUCGCUAAUAAAUGUUAGAAUUUCUGCUUCGGGUGGUGCUAAUGUUU